rnacentral:lncRNA from 1 species
ACGUUAAGGCGUGCCAGCCGAUUUGACCUUACUAUCGGCAAAGGUGAUAACUCGAAUACUUUAGUCCUGACAACAGCGAUGCGCCCGGAUGUCACGGCUAAGAGGUACUCACGCGGAACUUGAGGAUACGCCGAGCUUGAGUCGACGAAUUCCUAAGAACUCGUAACAAAAAGAAAACGUAUGACGAAGUCGUCGAAAAGUAAAUGCUGGAAUAUGAGUAAAAACGUGUGUUUGAUUGAUUAUUACAAGGUCCUAGGGCUUAUAUUUAUACCCUGCUCAAAGAGCUAAGACCAGACACGAUUAGAAUUCGAAUUCCAAUUUACACGGAACCCGUAUACAAAACGAUGCGAAUAACUAAGGAAAUAAUAAAACCACCCUUCGUAACAAACCAAAACUCCUCCACAUGACAACUGGCAGCUUCCGGACUCCUCCUUCGCGUCAUCGGCAAUCCCCUUGCCAUAGUCAUCGGCAGACCUUUUUACUUGGUCAUCGGCACCGUAUUACUGCUUGAGGACUUAGUCACAUUCAACCUUUCCCUCAUCGGCGACCAUCCUUAUCAGCAACCCGCAUCGUACUGCCACCUUAUCCUGCUAUCCUGGACACGUGUCCAAAAAUGGUGUCAACACGUCCCGUUACGGUAUAGAGAUCAUAUUCCAAAAUGUAUUCGAAUAGAUAACACACACAAAUACAGAAAUGUUUUUGAAGGCACGCGAAAUAGGUUAACCGAGGCGAGCAUCACAACCGCCUCGAUCUAAAGGUCUCGGUAAAUCGAUCUUUCCUAAGGCGGUUCAAAUACCCGUCUUAGUAAAAUUUAAAAAUAAAAAAAAAUCCGUGGACAAGCCCAACGAGCCCAUCCAUGGGCCCACCGAGUCCAUCCACAUGCCGCCACUCUACUCGUCGAAUCCGCACCACUGCUCAGAGGAUCCAAACCGCCCUUGCCUGGAGAAGCCGCCGAGGGAGGUUGCGCGCUGCCAUCACCAUUCACCCCCAAUCGGCCAUGUACGCCGAUCGGAGCCACCUUCUCGUGGCUGGAUCCGGCCUCCCAUCGGGAUCUGCCCUCUCCAUCGCUAGAUGCAUCCUCCGCGACGAGAGGGAGGGGUGCCGUCUUCAUGCGCUGCCGUGAGGGGGAGAGGGGAGGGGUGCGGUCGCCAUGCUCCAUUGCAUGGGGGAGAGGAGAGGGGCGUUGUUGAGUGGAGGGGGAAGGGAGGAGCGCGGAGGAGAGAGCUGAGAGAGAAGUGUUGGCCGCCGAUAGAGAGAGGCGA